rnacentral:tRNA from 1 species
GGGUGUGUAGCUCAGUUGGUUAGAGCGUUUCUCUGAUAAGGAAGAGGUCGAUGGUUCGAAUCCAUCCACACCCACCA